rnacentral:rRNA from 1 species
UACGUAGGGGGGCUAGCGUUGUCCGGAAUCAUUGGGCGUAAAGAGCGUGUAGGCGGCCCGGUAAGUCCGCUGUGAAAGUCGGGGGCUCAACCCUCGGAUGCCGGUGGAUACUGUCGGGCUCGAGUACGGAAGAGGCGAGUGGAAUUCCUGGUGUAGCGGUGAAAUGCGCAGAGUAUCAGGAGGAACACCUAUUGCGAAGGCAGACUCGCUGGGACGUUACUGCGCUGAGACGCGAAGCGUGGGAGCAAACAGG